GUGGGUGUGGCUCAGGGGCAGAGUGCUUGUCUAGCAUGCCCAAAGACCAAGGUUCAAACCCUAGCACCGCAUA
rnacentral:tRNA from 1 species